rnacentral:lncRNA from 1 species
AAAUAAUCACAUCAUAUACUUUAUAUUUACACAAAAAAAACUUGAAUAGCUACAACAGUCUUGAGCACAAAGAAUAGAGCUGAAGGAAUCAGAGUCCCUGACUUCAGACUAUACAUACUACAGAGCUACAGUAAUCAAAGUGUGUAGUACUGGUACAAAAGCAGACACAUAGCUCUGUGGAAAAGAACAGAGAGCUCGAAAAUAAACCCACACGCUUUUGGUCAAUUAAUCUUUAACAGAGGGGGAAGAAUAUACAGUGGAGCAAAGACAAUCUCUUCAGUAAGUGGUGCUGGGAGAACUGGAAAGCUACAUGUAAAAUAAUGAAUUGGAAAUUUUACUCACACCAUGUAGAAAAUUAGGCUCAAAAGGAUUAAAGAUCUAAAUGCAAGUCCAGAAACCAUAAAACUCCUAGAGGAAAACAUAGAACAGUCUUUUACAUGAUAAUAGCAUUUUAAAAAUUUGUCUCCUAAACUAAUGAAACCUUAUUAAACUUAAAAGUUGGAGUUCCCGUCAUGGCCCAGUGGUUAAUGAGCCUGACUAGUAACUAUGACGUAGAGGGUUUGAUCCCUGGCCUCGCUCAGUGGGUCAGGGAUCCACCAUUGUUGUGAACUGUGGCGUGAACUGUGUAGGUCACAGACGCGGCUCAGAUCCUCUGUUGCUGUGGCUGUGGCGUAGGCCGGCAGCUGUAGCUCCAAUUGGACCCCUAGCUUGGGAACCUCCACAUGCUGCGGGUGCAGCUCUAAAAAGCCAAAAAAAAAAAAAGAAUGGUAGGGGAAUGUUGUAUCAUUUUUACUUGCCUUUGGGCCACCUCCUCCCCUGCUUGACCAAGGUCUUGAAGAUAUCAGUGCAUAUCUUCAGUGUGAGACCGUGGUCCCUGCUUCCAAAAGGAGAGCUGACCUUGUUCUCAAAGAAUUGUGUUUGUGUGUUUUGAGCUCUCUGGGGACUAACCAAAGGACUGAUAAAAGGCAGCCCCUCCGCUCCCUGCCCCAGCACAGAGCUUCUUUAGGCAGAAAAGCAGCCAAGCGGAGGGCACAUUUCUUGCUAACAAGAAAGGCGAAUGAAUAAUCCCUGCUGUCUGGGGGAAGAUACUAAGGUUCAGACAAAUAAUAGACAUGCUGCAAAUUUAGGAGGAAAGACUGGGGAGAGAGAUUAUGUGUGGAAGUAGAACAUUAGAUAACUCCCUCUAUAUGGCAAUUUAGAAAGUCAUGUGCAAAGUCUGGGUAGAAUAUAUGCUCCGAAAAUCCCAGACAGACCAAAGCUUUUAUUUCUAACUAAUUCUUAGGCUCAGGGUAGACAGAAAGGGUAAUGCAGAGUCCUAAAGGGCUUGUCUAGGCAUUGAAAGAAUGUUAAAGAGUGAACCAGUAUGUGAAGAUUUUUUUCCUCCAUGUAUUUAGGAAAAUCUCUAUCAUAAACUCAUGACCUGCACCUAAGCUAAAGGAGGGCACCUCAUAGACGACACACCACAAAUACAGUCCUUGUAGAAAAAAGUGGGAAACCACUGAAGAAGUAAAACUCAGAGAAACCGAUGAAAACAAUCUCUGAUCAUGAAGAAUAUGAUUCCCAGAGUUACCACCUUAUAAUAUUUAGUGUCCAUUUUCCACAGAAAAAUCUAAAAGCAUAUGAAGAAACAAGAAAGAGGGCCCAUGUAUAGAAAAAUUAACAGAAACUGUCUAUGAGAAAUCAAGUCAGAGGAUUUAAUUGUCCCGGCCUCUGCUCACUUGUAUGAUUCCAAAGCUGUUCCUUGCUUUUAGGUAGUAUAAUCUAAAAACCAGGUUCACCUCUUGAUUGGCUUUGAGCCACAUGAGACAACCAAGCCAAAGUAUGGGAGAAGGAAGGGUUUAUUACUUCCAGCAAGUAAGGAGAAUACUGGGGAUCUUUCCCAAAGCAGUGUCUCCCUGAAUGGCAAAAUUGGAGAAGUUUUAAGCUAAGGGUACAUGGAUAUUCAUAAAGGGGAUUGGGAGGCUGAUAGAGUCCAAGCUUUAGAUGAUUGAAGUCCUGAGAGUCAGAAAAGAUCAGCGUUAUCAUCCUUCAGGUUCCAGCUGAUCUAGUGAUUAAACUCUUGAGGCUAACUUUUACUGUUGAAAGAGAACUGGGAGUUUUGCUAAUUUGCUAUUGUUAUUUUUCUUGCCGGAUAACAGCCGUUCAUUUCUGCAUUCUUUUGUUCUCUUAAGACCAUUAAUUACUGACACCAUCCAAGGGCAGGCAUUGUGGUCAGGCUUAGAUCACAAAAUGGCUUAGGCCAAAAAUGGCUUCUCUUUGGUCAAGAAAGCCACGCCUGUUCUCUUUCUCCAGGGACCCCCCUACUCUAUCGGCUUACAAUACCACUUCUAGCUACUAAAAUCUGUGUUAUUUUUAAUUGUUUACAAUAGAUCACCACAAAUUUAGUAUCUUAAAACAACAUGCAUGUUCUAUCACAGUUUCUGGAGUCAUGACUUAGCUGGGUCCUCUGCCCAAGGUAUCACAAGGCAACAACCUAGGUGUUGACUGAACUGUAUUCUCAUCUAGAAUUUCAGCUGGAGAAAAGCUGCUUUUAAGCCUAUACAUGUUGGCAGAAUUUAUUUCCUGGUGGUUAUAGAGUCAAGGUCCCAUUUUCUUGCUGACUCUCAUUGGGGCUACUCUUAGCUCUUAAAGACUACACAGUUUCUUGCCAUGUGGCCGUCUCCAUAGGCCUCUCUCAGAAUGGCAGCAUACUUUCCAAGCCAACAGGAGGGAAAAUUACCUGACCUAAAGAGAGUUCCAAUCCUCCUUUAAAGGCUUUCACCUGAUAAAAUCAAGCCACUCAGGGUAAUCCUCUGGUUAACACAAAAUCGCCUGAUGUGGGACCUUAUUGCAUCUAAAAAAUUCUGUCAACUUUGCCAUAAUCUCUUGGCUAGAAGCAAGUGGAGGGCAUCAUGGAGCUAUUCUCAUCUGUGUGCCAAGUGACAAAAUAUAUAGAGUGCUCAGGCCAGUGUCUGACCUACACUAAGGGUUCAGUAAAUGUUAACUCCUCCUGUCUUUUAAUUUUCCUGAAGCCCCUGUUAGAACCAUUAUCUCAGUGCCUAGGGGACCUGGGAUUCACUGAGGGGGAGGAGGUCGCCACACCAAACCAAGGGGGAAUCUGCUUCUCCUGGUGACAACAGCGUGCCUCAGAGUUUCGGAAAAUCGGAGAGAGGAGCUGUUUUCGGGAACUUGAAGAGCUAAACCAGAGAACUUAGAAGGAAUAUGUAUGCAGAUUAGGCUCCAGGGAAUUUUUCAGUGCAAAGAGGUGGUGUGCAGAAAGGAUUAAGAGAAUGAAGAGAGAAGCAUAGCCCUAAGGUGUGUAUCCCAUUGAAACAAGUAGGAUGGUUGUUAUCUGGAGAUACAUAUAACCUUCAACACAUCUUUUAUCAUUCCUAAUCUGAUGUUUAGUUGGCAGGAUGGACUUGGGGUUUAAAUGGCUCUGGAACUGUAGCUGGGUUAUUCUGUACAUGGAAUUCAUUUGGUGCUUACACCUCUUCCAAGUGAUAAAGGCAAAUUUUCAGAGAUGCUUUCUGGCUGAGAUUAUCCUAGGAUCAAAAGUAACCAGAUAACUGGCAAGUGUAGCAGGAAAGAAAAACCAGCAACAUUAUGAAAUGACAAGGGCUGCUCGAAUUGGAUAAAUGAGGCCAGAGGACCAGAGGAUCCUGUAGGGCUGAGAAGGGAAUUGUAGGAAAAAGAGAAGAUCCCAAGAUAGAGGAGCAUUCUCCAGUCUCCAGGAGAUCCUGAAGAGUGAAAUUAGAAUGGCAGCUCAGCCACUCCAGGGAGCACACAUAUAGGAUUUUUAUGACAAUUAUGUCAAGCUACUGUAAAAAUUGAAAAGCUUAUCUUGUGGAAUGAAAGCAAUGAUUAAGCCAGAAAGGCCUAAAUUAAGUCUAUGCUCCUCCCCCUCCCUUCUCCCUCCAGCUUUAACUUGAAACCACAUACCAUAGUGGCUGUCAGGGCCGCUGACUUUUGGAGUUAGUUUCCCAUCUUCUGGUGCUUCUGCCAUGAGAUAAUAGGAAAUAUUAGCCAUGGAAAUUGCUGCAACAUAGACAAUAACUUUUAUCAUUUUGGUAUGGCCUGAAAGUUAAGGGAGAUGCUGUGUCUCUUUUCUGCUAAUCUUAGCAAGUCCUGUUAUUUUCUUGUCUCAGAAUGGGGAGAUGCUCUCCUCUAGGACAUUUGAGAGAUUGUGACCCAAGAAGGCAUCUUAAGCCUUUGAAAUCUCAUAGCCAUUUCCCCAGAUCGGUUAGAGAGGAAUCAAAAAGGUAGGAUAGAAGCUGCAGCUGCUUUUUCUUCCCAAGACCUAGGACUCAGCCGACUGACCUAGAAUUCUCAUAGCUGUCAAUUCAAUGGCACAGACAAAGGCACACAGGGAGGAGGCAGGCUCCUCAAGAGUGAUUGUGUCCACCAGAUUCUCUGGUUCAGAUCUGGCACUGGAAGAUGGAGAGUCAGUAUGUGUCCUGUUUCACUGUCAGGCUCCUCUCACUCUUGAGUCUGCAUGAGUAAGCUCUGCUGGGUGUUGUGCAGGAGUUGAAUGUGUCAGAAGAUAUUCUGUAGGACGACCUUCCCUGCCGGGCGCUGGCAGACUGUUGAUUGGUCUGCACAUUAGGGGAUGAUCUACCAGUGAUUUGGGAAUGUUGAUUUAUACCCUAAUGGAACCAAACUUUGAUCACCAAGCAGAAUGCUACCAGUAAGUUUCUUUCUUUUUUUUUGAGGGCCACACCCAUGGCACAUGGAAGUUCCCAGCAAGGAUCUAUUAACAGUCACACAAUUACAUCCAUGUUCAAGAUCAUGUUUUGUCUUUUCUCUGACUUAUUCUCUAGAAAAAUACGUAUAAAAUAGUGUGUAUAUCUGAGCACUGUGUAUAAGGUGCUUGUUCUGAUAGUUUCCAAAGUCAACAAGCUGUUCUUUGUAGCUUUGUGUGCCUCAGAGCUGAUGCUGGGGUUGUGUAAAUGAAAAAGUAGAGACAGGUGGUAGGAAGAAGGAUGAGAAGCAAAAAAAUGUUCCUUAGUUUUUGUCAACUUUACUAUUGCCUACAGAGAAGGACUUGUGUGUGGGUGGUAAGAUUAUUUGCCCAUGCUUUGCAGUGCUGAAAGAUUUUGGUAAUGGUUUCUGUUCAGUGCUUAUUAUACCCUUUGGUCUCUUUGUGAAGUGAUGGGGAGAGGUCUAAGAUGGCAGAGUAGCAGGACAUGAGGCUC